GCAGUAAGAUUAAGUCAUUCGUUAUGGUGCUGUACUAUCGUGUAUACACUCUCUAUUUAUUAAAUAACUACAAUUAUGCUUAUUUAUAUGCGUAGGGGACCUGGUGACCCAAGACACAGGCUUCAUUUAUCUUGGACAUAGGCUUCCACCAAAUAUUUACAAAGAAAAGGAACUGAUGUUUGUGAUGAAAUUUUAGAAAAUACUACAUAUUGAUUACACUCUCAUCGGUUUUCCGUACAAUAUCCACAGGUGGAUGUGGAAUAGUCUUAUUCUGGAGUUGAAUGGGAAUCAUACGUUCAAAAAUUGAAUGAAGUUGCAAUCAAUCCAUCUCCAUCGUCUGUCAAGUCUGUUUUUCCAUCUGUCACGCUUUCACAACUAAAUUACUGAGCCAAGUUUUAUGAAAUUCCAAUUAUUAUAUAGCUAAUGACGUACCUACUGUCUCCUUUUGCCAUAACGUGUAUGCAUAGUAUAAAAAAUAGAGGUGUGGCCGCAAUGACGAGUACAGUCAACAGCACAUAAAGUUACUAUAUGAAGCUCUAUAACGCGGUAGUAGCGGCGAGUUUGCAAUGAAUUUGAGUAGGUUGAUGUGCUGUUGACUGUACGUAAUGGAACAUAGUAAUACAUGGUAAAUGUAUUUUAUGUUUUAUGGUAGACCCCCAUUUCCACGAACAGAGCUGUGGGCAAUCACGAUAAAAUUUAAAUAAAAAGAUUUUCUAUCUGACAGGCAUAAAACUAAAAAAAAAUGUGAUUUCUUAUUCCGUAUCGUACAGUACCUAUUCCAGUGAAGUUAAGAUGUAUGAAUGCUCUCGCGCGCUGGCGUUGUAAAAUGUUACAUCCAUUAGUUAAUUCUAGCUCUUCGUCUAUUUUGCAUAUUGGCCUGCUAUGCAAAUCCGGCGAGAGAAUAUUAAAUCUACCGAUACUUCCCCCUCUGCCCCCUCUACUCCGCGCCGCUGAACUUUGUGAUUGGCCGCGGUUUUUUUUAAAUAUAGGGAAAAUCACACAAGUCUAUCUGGUAGUGACCAGAGAACACGUCUGAGAAUCGUCAAAUUAUCCAAAUAUCGACAAGUCUUAACACGGAGGUUAGAAUACAAAUGCGAGCCAUUCGUAGUCAAAUAUCCUUGCAUACUACACAUAUAUCUUCUACAUUAGCUAAUGAAUUGGAAGGCAUUUAAUGGAUCCGUGCAAGAUGACAAGCGGU